rnacentral:miRNA from 1 species
UUGUGGAGUCGUGGAAAAAUG